GCCUCUGUUGUCUAAUUCACAUUUAAAACUCAUAUCAAUGUUGAAUAUUGCAGUUUGGUGGAAUCGAUCAAAUACAUUUGCAAAUACGUCACCAAAGAAAGCAACAUGGCGGUUAUUGGCCUUGGACGAGAUGAGAUAAUUCGAGCGUAUUCAGUUUCCAGUGAAAAUUGCAUUUGCGAUAACAAUCAGCAGAACACAAGGAUAGUCGCUAGAAGUAUGUGGCGUGUUUACGUGUAGGAAAACUAUCUUCUUUGUACAUACAUUUACGCAGCGAAACAGAAACCAAAAAAUGCUGUUUAACAAGCUGCGUUAUAUUGAAAAAAUUUAGAAAAAUCGAAAAUAAAUGAUUUUUAACACAACGUAAA